UACAGAGGUGGCAAGCGUUGUUCGGAAUUACUGGGCGUAAAGGGCGCGUAGGCGGCCACCGCAAGUCGACUGUGAAAUCUCCGGGCUUAACCCGGAAAGGUCAGCCGAUACUGCGGGGCUAGAGUGCAGAAGGGGCAACUGGAAUUCUCGGUGUAGCGGUGAAAUGCGUAGAUAUCGAGAGGAACACCUGCGGCGAAGGCGGGUGCUGGGCUGACACUGACGCUGAUGCGCGAAAGCUAGGGGAGCGAAGCGGG
rnacentral:rRNA from 1 species